rnacentral:piRNA from 1 species
UAAGACAUUAAUAACUUCAGC